GAAAAUCGCAUCCGCGCCAAAGAGCGUCGCGCCUCUAUACGACAACACAGAGCUCACACACACGCUAUACUAUACCUAUAUAUUAUUAUAAUACGGGAGCCGCGGAGUGAGCGGCGCCGCCGACGUGUUGGCGCUGCUGGAGUGGUGUGUCGCCGCCAUAUUGGGGCACGCGCUACACACGCACACUGUGUGCCGCGCCAACAGUCGAAAAUACAACGUCCCGGGCCGUGAGGAGGAGGACGACGACGACGGCGUCAGCAUUAGUUAACCCGCGAGAUAAACUCUCGGAAGAGGAGCGAGCCUCCUGGUGUCUCAACUGUUCUCGGGAUUCCCGGCGCGUCGUAAUAAGCACAGAAUCAGCGUCUCUGUACAUACCUACAGCUAAAGUACUUAUACGCGGAAAUCUCGCGCGGUGCCCCCUCCCAUUACAUAUAACGUCGUGUGCGUGUGAGGAAGCGUUAUAUGCACGGUGAGAGUGUUCCAGUAGUGCAGCAGCAAAAAAAGAGUAGUGUAUGCGCGCGCGCGCGUUUAGUAGCGGCAGACGGACAGACAGUUCGGCGGCGACGACGACGACGACGACGACGACAGGACAGUCGGAACAUUACAAGCUAGAGAAUCAUUAUACAGGCAAGGAUCAUCAGUAGCGCGUCGACGCCAUCGAGGAGAGAGAGAGAGAGAGAGAGAGAGACGACGACGACAACAUGGAUCCGGCGAAGCUGAAGGUCGUCGAGCUUAGGGCAGAGCUGAGCAGUCGCGGUCUCGACACCAAGGGUAACAAGGCCGCUCUCGUCGAGCGGCUACGCCAGGCACUCGAGUCAUCGUCCGAUCAGCCGAAAGGAGCAGCGGCUUCAGCCCAAUCUGACUCAAGUCAAAAAUCAGAAAGGGGGUCUGAUAGUGAAGAUGACGGAAGCAACUUGGAAUCAAAGUCUCAGGAGCCGGCAAAAUUGCCACCCAGGACUCCAAGCAGGUCUUCUAGGAGGAGAAGCCAGUCCAGAGAACCCGUGACUCCGGCCAAAACUCCCACCAGAAGGAGUAGUUCUAGAUCUUCACUUAGUAGACAGUCUCCUGCAAAACAGACUCUUGCUGAAAGCGUAAGCGAAGCUGCUACUUUGGAACCCAUAGUAGAGGAAGACAAAAUAUCUAAGAAAGAAGCACCUGCUGCUUCUCCCAAAAAAGAUGUUGCUCAAGUUACACCAAAAAAAGAAGCUGCGCCUGCACCCUCACCCAAAAAAGAAGAAAUUCCAGCACCCUCUCCCAAAAAAGAAGAGGCUCCAGCAGCUUCACCUAAAAAAGAAACUGCCCCAGCUCCUUCUCCUAAAAAAGAUGAUACACCAGUAACUACAACAACACCCAAGAAAGACGCUGAACCUGUUACACCUAAGAAAGAUAGUGUAGUACAGAAUGAGGAUACAAGAUUGGAGACCGUCAAAGAAGCAGAAAAGCAUGUAGCUGAUAAGCCACAAGAAAUCACCAGAACAUCUGCUGAAGAUAUUUGUAAAAAAUCCAAUGAUCAGAGUCCAGCCAAACCUGCUAGUCCGGCUAAAUCUGUGAUGCAAAGCCCAGUCAAGGCACCUGCUCAGAGCCCAGUCAAGUCUGCUACUCCGCAAAAAGCUGCUGAGAGUCCUGCAAAGGCAGCUGCGCAGAGCCCUGCCAAGACUGAUACUGAGAGUCCUACAAAGGAAGUUGCACAGAGCCCAGCCAAGACUGAUGCUGAGAGUUCUGCUAAGGUUGCUGCACAGAGCCCAGCUAAGACUGACGCUCAGAGUCUGGCUAAAGUUGCUGCUCAGAGCCCAGCUAAGGCUGUUACUCAGAGUCCUGUCAAACCUUCCUCUCCACAAAAAAUGGAACAGAGCCUUGUAAAGAAAGAUUCGAUAGAGAGUCCAAACAAAAAGCUAAAAACUGACGAUAAGAAUGACGCAGAUUCUGAGGAAAAUGUAAACAAAUCCACUGAAGAAUCGAUGGAAGUUGAUCAGGAAAAUGACGCCAAACAAAUGGAAACAGACGAACAAGACAAGAAAGACGAAAGAUCUGACGAGAAAUCAGAGGAAAGGAAAAGGAAGAGAUCGCCAAGUCCUCAAGAAGACGCUCCACGAGCUCCACCCAUUGCAAGGCCUGAAAACGAACCAAAUUAUGAUGACACAGCUGUUUUACUGUCGUGGUACGACUCUGACCUGAACCUGGUAAUCAACCCAACCAACUACUUCUCUGCCUCGCCUAUGCAAGGUGACGGUUUUAACUUCAUGUGGGCUGGUGCACGAGUCUCUCACGGUUUCAAUAAAGGUCGCGUCUACUAUGAGGCACGAAUCGAUUCAGAGUUCAAUAAUAUUGCUGCAGCAGCACAGACUGCUCACCGAGACAACAGUGGAGCUUUACCCGCUGAUGAAGAGAAGAUUCCAGCUUUACUGAGGCUUGGCUGGUCAACCAUUCCUACUUCUCUUCAAUUAGGCGAAGAAAAGUUGUCUUACGGUUUUGAAGGCACAGCUAAAAAGUCAACAAAUAAGGAAUUCACUGAAUAUGGCAAGACCUUUGGCAAGUCCGACGUUGUUGGAUGUUAUGCCGACUUUGAGACUGACGGAAAUGUAACUCUGUCAUACACGGUAAACGGAGAGGAUCAAGGGUCUGCGUUUGUCUUGAAAAAAGAAGAACUCGAAGGCAAAGCGCUCUUCCCACACGUGCUCAGUAAGAACUGUACGUUCACAGUCAACCUUGGUCAAGAAGAACCAUGGAGCAAAGAUGUUUUGGAAGGAUAUCAAUCUGUUGGAAAAGUCGAUCUCAACGAUAGAGUUGUAGGUCCUCGCAGGUCCGAAAAGAGAGGAGACUGUGAAGUUAUUUUGCUAUGUGGCUUACCGUUUUCCGGAAAAACCUCAUGGGCCUUAAAACACGUUGCUGAACAUCCAGAAAAAAUGUACAGUGUUCUAGGAACGCACAGUCUCAUUGAAAGAAUGAAUGUCGAUGGAUUGCCAUUGAAAGAUAGUUUCAAAGGGCGUUGGGAAAAUGUUGUGGAAAAAUGCUCACGAGCUCUUAUUAAAUUAUUAGACUCUGCGCCAUCGAGAAGAAGAAAUUAUAUUUUGGAUCAACAAGCAAAUGUUUAUGGAUCCGCGCAAAAACGUAAAAUGAGAAACUUCUACGGGUUUCAUAGAAAAGCUGUAAUCUUGGUACCUUCGGACGAAGAAUUUAAAUCACGCAUGGCUAAACGCAAAGAAGCUGCUGAUGGUGAAGAAAUCAGGGAAUCUUCCAUUUUAGAAGUUAAAGCAAACAUCAAUGCGCCAACUGUUGGUGAAUCGUUUGAAGAAGUUGUUUGGGCAGAACUUAGCGAAGAAGAAGGCAAGAAGCUUAUCGAAACUUACAAUACAGAAGGCAAAUCUGCUGGUUAUGGACAAAGUCCACAACAACAACAAAACAAACGAUCUCGAUUCGAUAAUGGACAAAAGGAUCGCAAUAACCGAGACAAUCGUGACAACAGACGCCCUGGUUACAACGACAGAAGAAACAGUGGCGCUUGGCGUGGUGGUUCUGGAGGAGGUGGUGGCGGUUGGCGAGAUGGUGGACGCAUGCGUGGAGGCCCAAUGAGACAUGGUGGUGGUUACGGUCCACCUGGUGCCUGGCGAGGUCGAGGAAGCGGCGGCUCUCCCUUACCACCACCCAGAGGUAACCGAGGAGCCAACGACAGGCGACAAGGCAACGACCGUAAUAGGUCUGGAAACCGAUCGGGUGGAUGGAACGCCGUGGGAUACCAAGGUGGCCAGAGCGGUGGGGCAUGGGGUAACCAGGGAGGCAGCUGGCAGGGUGGUGGCGGUGGCCAGUCAGCCUGGGCCGGUCAGCAAAGUGGCGCUUGGGGCAGCGGUGGUCAGCAGCAAGCCUGGGGUGGCGCCUCCAGUUGGAAGGGUUACGGUCAGGGAGCUGCGGGAGGCUACGGCCAAUCUGCCGGUAGCUACGGCAACGGAAACUGGAACAACUGGGGCUCGCAGUAUUACAAUCCGUAUUGGGGUGGCAGUGGCGGUGGAGGCGGUGGAGGCAGCACCGGCAGCACCGGCACCGCCAGUCAGCAACAGCCAUCAUCCGGCACCCAGAGCACCGGUGGACAGACGCAGGCGGCGGCCGGUACCGGCGGCCAAGCCGUAAGCAAAAAAUAAUCCAUCACACACGAGAGAAAGCGAGCGAGCGAGAGACAUGCGAGAGACGGUUUGAGCGUUGCGAGAUCGGAUGACAGAAAGUAAGGCAAGCACAACGCAAUCAUACAACGACGGCUAUGACUACUCCUCGGACUGGCAGGGCUACUCGCAGUCGUCGUACACUUAUCCCGAUCAAGCGACUUCGCAAACCACAUCGCAAGAACAGCAGCAACAGCAAUGAAUCGACUAAAAAACCAUUACUACUAUUCCAAUUUUCGCGCCUUCGAUGAUACAUACGUCGUUACACAAAUAUUGAGGAAACAAACGAAAAAAGUUAAGAUGUAUGCGAAAAGACACACAUUUAAAUAUAUACACGAUUAUUAUACACUGUAUUGUGAGUCUGUAUAGUGACUUGACGCUAUGUGAGCAUUUUUCGAUGAGAAUUCUUAGGUUUCGAGUAAGAGAGAUGACAGAGCACCUGAGACUAAGAGUGAUUUUUGUGUGUGAGCGCACCUUUAUAAAAGCGACAGCGGAUCGGUGUUUUUCUCUUUCUUUUAGUUUCUUUCAUUGUAGAAAGAAGAAGCUUAUUUUUACUAUAAGAGAUAGCAGUUUGUUAUAGGCUAGGAUCUUUUUUUAUAUAAAAAAUAUAUAUAAGUGCAUUGACGUAAUACUGUAUUCAAGGCAGGACAAAAUGAUACUGAGUCGAGAGUAGUUUAAUAGCGAAUGAAAAUAUGCGUGGAAGGAACUGUCGAAAGCACCAGGAUUAAGCAUUUUCAUUUUGGGCCGAUGCAAGAUAUUCCCUGGGGAUUAGCAACAGAAAAAAGAGUAAAUUAAUCUGGGAAGAUAUAUAAUUAUUAUUAUUAUACAUAGGAAAUGAGGAAAUUUUCUUGGAUAAGCGAGACGGCGACGGGCAUACGAUGAAUUGGAGAACCUGACAGGCAUCAACAUUGCAGAGCUUUAUGUAAAUAUGUAAAAAUUUGUACUAACCUUUCGAUUUCUUGGAGACAGGAUGAUGAAUCUGGUACAAGUAUAAACACUAUGAGUUCGUAGUAAUUUCUUGAAAAACUAUGUGUAUCUUUUUGCUCUAUUUUGUCAAUUUUUGCAAAUCAAAAAGCUCAGUUUGUAACGGAACACAUUUGCUGCUUAUCAAGCAAAAGCUCAAUUAUCAUGUACGUAUAUUCACUUUAUGGUAAUAAAUAAUAGCUCGAGUUUUUCUCUUACUGCUCUGCAUGAUUACCGUGCGAUAAAUCAAUUAGUUUGAUUUAUUCGCUUUAAGGAAAAUGAAUUAUCCCUAUUUCAAUAUAAGGUACAUUUAUUUAAUAUCUUUGACAUCGCCUUUUUUAAAUAAGAUUGAAUGUAUCAGUUACCUUUUACAUGUUCAUGUUUUUAAUUAAAAUAAUAAAUUUUUCCUCCAAGUCAAAGCGUUUGCGUAUUUUUAUUUUUCAUUCAUACUUUUCUUACAUUUUUUUCAGUCUACGACUUAAGCCUUCUUGACUUCGUGAAAUCGAAGGCAAAAGUGAUAUGUUGAUAUCCAUAUGCAUAAUACCUACGUCAAAUGUCAAAAUGGAAAUAUUGUCUAAUGAUAAAACAAAUUGAAAUUUAUCGAGUAACUGAUCAAUGACAUUGUAUGCAGUCGUUUAAAGAAUUUCCUUUUAAAUUUCUUUAAAAAAUGCGUAUAUGACUUAUAAGUAAAAGUAAUUAGUUACGAAGUUCUAGGUGUUAAGAUCUGUAAAUGUACAGAAUGUUGGAAAAAAUCAUCCUUCUAUAAAAAUAGUGAAAAAAAAAACAAAAAGGAAUAUUAUGUGUACCUUUGAACAUCGUCAAAGCCGCAUUACGCCCAAAAAUACCGGUAAAAGAUAUCUUUUAGAGAACAUGAGAAUUAGGAGGAUAAUUAACAAAGGUUUUUGAAGAAUGUGAAAUAUUUUUUAAGAAAUAACCAGAAAAUUUAUUUAAAUUAGGAUUAUAUAGCACACAUUACUACCACAACGUUAUCGCGUUUGGAAGUUAUUUCAAACGACAUAUAUUAUAGAAAUAAAAAUUUCUUUGUAAGAGUAAUCACAUUCGCCGUGAUUAAUCAGGAGUUUUCUACGUGCGCCUUGGCAUAUAACAAAAUCAUUAUAAAAACAAUAAAUCUUUAGGGUAUAUUUAGAAAUUUCAUCUUACUUUUUUGUUAAUAAAAUUAUGAAAAAUUUAUCAUUCAAAAGUUAUUUAACGCUUCGUUUUUCAAAAUAUCCCUUGCAUAAUUGAGUGCACAUAUUUUUUGAUUUUGCCUAAAUCAACGGCUUCCUUUAAAGUGUCAUAAAUAAAAAAGUAGAUACACAAUUAUCUAGGCAAGAAAUGGUCGAAAAAUGAAUUAGCAAGUAUAAACUCUGAUAAAUGCAUACGUUUAAAGUAUGUCAGUGAAAUAGUAUUUUAAGUAUCCAAAAAUUAGAUUUAAAAAUAAUAAUAAUAAUAAUAGAUUUUUGAUGGAGGCAAAAAAAACGGAAGAACGCUAGAGAACGGAUACUGAGUUUGUGUGUAACAAGCGGCAUUAUGAGGAAACGUACAAAAGCAUUAUCGCAUCUACAUAUAUAUAUAAUACAUAUAUAAAGCUACACAAGCCCUGUCAGGUGUGAAAAGGUAUAAGACCAUUUCGAUGUUAUGCGUUAAAAACAGACUGAAGAUUCUAAAGGAUCGGGAUGUAUAAGAACUCUUAUUCCACCGAAAAUAAAACCCGCUUUGUACAAAUGUUGCUUGUAAAUAGCACAAAAGCUUUUUGUUUGGGAUUAUUCAAUCAUUUUACAUUUCUUGAGGAUAGUCCAAGCGUGACAUCAAUAAGUGUCUUUUCUAAAUUUUAGAUCUUCUCGCAGGGAUCUGAGUUGGACAUCUAAGUACAUUACGAUAUUUUCCUUUUAUGUAUUAAUAUUUUAAAAAUGAUUUUUUUCGUGUACAUGCUUGCUGUUUUACUUUUUUUUUUAUAAAAAUACUUAUUUCAUGUCGAAAUACAUUUCAAAAAUCGUAAACGCAAAAGUAAUGUAAAAUGUCAUUUUUGUUUAUAAACGUCUGCUUUUAAGAUAUUUUUUAUUGAUUAUAGGUGAAUAUUUUUGAAAGCAAUCAACUAAUCAAUAAUGCUAUUAUGUUUACUGUGUAGCAAUCUAAAAAUGCUAAAACUACGAAAAGUAAAUGAAUAUAUCUUCAAGCAAUUAAAAUUCUUAGACACAGUUAUAAGAUGCCUGAUUCUGCAAAAGACAUUUAUCAUUUUGUUAAGGCUCUAUAUAAAGGAUGAAUCUAAUGUUUCGCUUUGACUUUACACUGAAAUGUCUCUUCUUUUAUAUGAUUUUAACAAGUUAAGAAGUUGACAUGUAAAAGUUUAUCAUACAACAGGGAAGUUACAUCGAUGCGAUUUGAUUACAAAAGUAAUGCACAAGUACCAAAAAAAAAAUCAGCCGCCGGUUCAUUCAUUAAGUGUCUAUGCCCUAUUUUGUUAAUUACACCAGGGUUAUGAAAAAUAUAAUACUAAAUAUUGCGCGACUUUAAGCGUGACUUCUUGAGGGCGCACUUUAUAAUUUGUACAAUCGACUAUUCUGGUUUUAACAAUGAUUAUUAACUUGAUAAAAAUAAAAAUAAUUUACAAUUAA